rnacentral:lncRNA from 1 species
CUGGUGUGCAGCUCAGAUUGUAGCUCUGUUUUUCCUUUUUGUUGUCAUGGACUACUGUCUAUGAUGACGAGCAGUGGUGAUCGGUGAACGUUUACAGCAUUGGACAACUAUGUCUCAAGGUUUUCUAUUAUUAGCAGGUGAAUCAUUUGAGUUUCUCUGCCUUGUGUGGAAAAAGAAUUAUAUCACCCCAGAAAAAUGUUUUAAUAUAAGAAAUUUAAACCACCAAUAAAGCAAAAAUGCAGCCAAGGACGUAUCAUUAGCGGGAUAGACACCUCACUUUAAUAAGAUGAUGUUAAGUAGACACAAGAAAUUAGAAGACAGGAGUACGAUAAAAGAAAAUAACGUUGUAAAAACAUGUUGAAAAAACUAAAAGUAUACAGAAAUGAGUGGCUAACAGUGCAAACAUUUUCUAAGAAGAAAAAUACUAACACACCUUAUCCUUUUUAUUGUGCAUGAAUAAGUAAAAGCAAAGUCGUAACUUUAUAUAUUUGUCUUUUUAAUGGACUUCCCAAAUCAACUGUAUUCAAUCUCUUAGAUUUAGUCUUAUUAAAACUCUGAGUCUUUCCCCUUAUGUCUGUUCUUGUUGAGGAUGAGCUCAGCCAAAAUGUCCCUUAGCUCAGCAAAAGCACCAUAAACUUUAAUCACCAUCCUCCUCCUCCUCCCCUUCAUCAGCACCAAGAUCAUCAUUAUCACUUGCAAUUAAACUGAUGUAAUGAAGGUUUUACACUUUUUUUUUUGUUUACCAUUUUGGCGGUCAGACUUUGCUGCAGAGAUGAUACAGAUCCUUUAUCAUGACAGAUGAGGGUCAAAAGUUUGUAAAAGCUUAUUCUACAUUUUGGUGUCAAUUUUUAACAUUUUCAGGUUGUUUUUUUCAAAUAUCCUGCGACCUGUAACCUUCUCACAACCAACAAAUUAUCUUUAAGUUAGUAGUUUUUCCUUGCCACAUUAACUUGCUAAAUGCUGCAAAAUGGUGGAUGAAGACAGAUGAGAGUGGGUCUGAUUCUAAAAGAUUGGAAUUAAACUUAUCCUGUCUCGAUGUUUGGUCUUCCUGUAAAUAUCAUAUAGAGUAUGGUCUCGGCCAAUUGCUUUUGCAAGGCAUCUUCAGAUAAUUUAUGUUAUGAUUUGGUGCCAUAGAGAAAGACUGACUGAUUGGUUUUCCUGAGUGAAGGUGAUCUAUAAAAUCAUACUUUAGUUUAUGACUUAUUUGCAGCGUUUCCUUGAACAUUAAAUGAUGAAACUCAUUGUAAAUAAUCUGAGCCAAUAAAAGAGUCAAACAUAGAGCUUAUAGUAUACGCUCAGUACUUUCAGUGCUCAGUGUUUUCUGUUAUAUGCAGUCACUCAUUUAAAAAAGAAAAAAAAACAGAGAUGUGCAUCUGAGAAAUGGCAAAACACUUAAAUAAUCCUGCCAGAAAUCUGCUUGUCAAUACAAAUAUGCAGGAUAUACAAAAAUAAAAGUAUUAAAAUUUGACUAAAUGUAAUCCACUUUACGUAUUUUUUGUGUUUUCCUUUUGUUUUCUUAGACACAUUUACUGUACAUACCUGUUUAACCCUCUCAAUUACCUGACACCAUGUGGAUUUACACUAAUUUGAAUAUUUGCUGUAUAACCAACUAUCUUAUUGUCUCACCUUUUGAAACUGGCUAGAGAAAUAGUUCCAAAUAAACACAACAGGUGGUACAGGCUUUGUGCAUUCAUGUCAUGGAGUCCAAGCUUCUAACACUUCCUGUGCUUCCUGUUGCUGUUAUUGUCGCAUUACAUACAGUAAUUUCUCCCAGCAGGGAUUUUCUGUGCUCGUCUCCCUCUCAGGAGAAUUAUGUUGUAUGUGUCUGCUGUACGUGUUGGCUUAUGUUUGCACUGUAAUGAAACGAUAGAAGCAGGAAUCUGUUGUGCACCUCUUUUGUGUGCUCUGACAUGCUCUCCAUGGCCAGCAGGACCUGAUGCACUGGGCAUUGAAAGGUGCAUGCAGGCAGAGGAUGAGAGGGUUUUACUGAUCUGUAUUUCUGUGGCUCUUUGAGUGAGUGAGCCUGGGGAGCUGAAGGGAGAGGACUGACUGAGGUAAUUAUCUCAGAGUUUACACUGAUGAGGAGGGGAUGAAGGACAGCCUGUCGACCCUGGACCAGAACAGACGAAGACAAAUGACUCCAUGGACCCCCGUUACCUCUUUUCUGAAAAUGUUGACCCAAAAGGAUAUCUUAGAUGUAGCUCUGUGGUAUCUUUUUACAUUCCCCCUUCCUCCUCCAUCCUCUCAUGUUUUUUCUCAUUACAGCUAAUACCACACACCAGUACAGGCUGUGUAUUUAGUCCAGAGAGCCAUCACUUACAAACAUACAUAAUCAUUUUUGGGUCGAAUUUAAUGGCUUGUAGUUUACUUUUACUAAAAAAAAAAAAAAAAUUAAAUGGUGUAGUGACUCAUUUGACGAUAAAGCCUCCAGAACAACUCCCUCUCUCCACCGAUUCCACUGGCUGAGCAACUGCUUAGCCGUCAUCCAGAGCCAAUGAAGCCAUACACUCAAUGUCACAAAACACUGAGCAGACUGAUGGGGCAGUUUCGUACUUGGUAAUGUUUUCUCUGAACAACGAUCAAGGAUAUAUGCAUAUAUAUCCUUGUUAUGCUGUAAUGAUGUAAUUUUGUUAUUUCGGAGUGUUCAAUUGAAAAAUUUAAGGGUCAUUACUUGUGUGAUGUCAAUGCUCUAGACUUUAACAAAAACACUAGGCUUCACGUUAAAAGAAGAACUCUUAAGUCCUCAAUCAGGUCAGCAUUUUAUUUAUCUUGCUGUUAUAUCUAUGCUGUAGAGGAGCAGUCAGCGUAUCACAUUAUCACCUUUACCCUGAACAAAAUAACCCUCUCUACCCUCCCUCCAACUGUCCUUCAUCCCACCUCAUCCUCACUUUCCCCCUGCCUCAACCUUGCACUAUCUCUGCCCUGGUUUGGAACCGAUGACCACUGUACUUAAUAGGAGCUGUUCUAACCACUACCCUGCAGGCCUGUCUGUCCAGGCCUUUUUUAGGAGUUCUAAGUUAACCAUUUUAUGAUCAAUAUUUAAAAGCUUGAUUAAUCCGACAGUGGGAUGGAAGCAUUUUAUUUUGGCCCUACUUUAGAGUCCCCACUCCAGGCAGAUUUGAACCCAAGACCAUUUCACUCAAAGGCAGCUCUUACCCCCACAGGCCUGCCUGUGCCUGACUUUUUAAAUGUUUUGAUGUAACUGUUUCAUGAUAGCUAUUCAAAAGUACCAACCUUGGAGGUUGCCGUUCUGGACAGUUUUGAACCAAGGACCUUUUCGCUCAAACACAGCAGCUCUGAAAACAACAUCUGCCUGUGCUCCCCUGCCUUUUUUUGUCUUUUCAUUGAACCAUUUUGGUAUGGCCAUUUAAAACCUUGGUUCAGUCUACAUUGUUAAGACAGCAUUUAUUUUUUCCUCACUAGAAAGUUCCUGUUCCAGGUGGAUGUAAACCCAGGUCCAUUUCAAUCAGGUCAUUUUAUUUGGCCAUUCAACAGUCAUUUUUUAAACAUAGAGAUCAGGUUUCCGCGAGCAAAGCAUUUCAUUUGUGCCUCUCAUAGGCUGCAAAUUAGGUUUUAAAUCCAGAACUGUUUCUUUCAGAGAUAGCAGCACCAAC